UACGUAGGGGGCAAGCGUUGUCCGGAUUUAUUGGGCGUAAAGAGCGUGUAGGCGGCUUUACAGGUCCGUUGUGAAAACUCGAGGCUCAACCUCGAGACGCCGGUGGAAACCGUAAAGCUAGAGUCCGGAAGAGGAGAGUGGAAUUCCUGGUGUAGCGGUGAAAUGCGCAGAUAUCAGGAAGAACACCCGUGGCGAAGGCGGCUCUCUGGGACGGUACUGACGCUGAGGAGCGAAAGCGUGGGGAGCAAACAGG
rnacentral:rRNA from 1 species